rnacentral:lncRNA from 1 species
UUCAUAGUAAAACAAUUUUGACAAAUAAAUAGCUUAAUAAAUAAAAAGGGUACUUUUUUCUAUAUGAUUAUCUCUGUAUUAGAAUCUGGUGUUUUGGUGUGUUUAUAACUGAACGAACCCACGAACACCUCUCUCUCUCUCUCUCAGAACGCAGCGCGCGUUCGAUGACGUCACUAAUCCCCGCGUAUAAAUAGAGCCGCAGGAGCAAAGGAGCGGCAUUCGCGUUCAGCAGCGGUGCCGUGAUGGAGCAAAUCAUUCUUCGCCGUACUUUAGCGAGCUAUUUUGAACGCGCUCGACAGCAGUGUGGGCUGAAGCAGGAAGUUCGCAAAUCUAUGAUUAGCCCAUUUAUAGUAUUUGUAGACGGCUAUCCGACCCUGGUGGCGCCUAAAGAAAAGAGGCCAUCCCCGGGCCCAUUUGGUCUUCCCCCACUCAUGCCGCGCGCGCCACCAUCCCAGCCCCGCCCAUGCCCACCGCAAUGGCAACCACCGAUACACCCAAAGAUGUCGGGCCAAGUGUCUUCCAGAAAGGACUGCACAGCCUGCAGGGCGCGCUCGCCUACCUCUGUACAACGGCCUGAGUGGCUGAAACCUCAGAGUCGUUUUCUCCCAUUGACUAAACCUGGACCUGGUCCAGUAUCUCUAUCCAGACGCCGGACACCGCCGCCCAAAACACAGCUACCACCAAUACACCCAAAGAUGUCGGGCCAAGUGUCUACCAGGAAGGACUGCGGAGCGUGCAAGGAACGCUCGUCUUCCACUGUGAGAGAGCUUUGGGGGCUGAAAGAUCCCACAACCUUCCCCCCAUUAGCAGAACCCGGACUCUGCCCAGCACCGCCCAAAUCAGGGCCACCAACCAUGACUGGAACCAGGUGCUGAUGCUCCUGUGCAGUCACUGUGUGCUCUGUUCACUGAGCAAACUGUCAUUUUACUUUUUGUUUUUCUUUUUUCAACUCUGAAUUUAAAAACAUGUAUUUAACCAAUAAAAUAUGUAUGUAUUGGUUAAUCUCA